AGGAGACAAAGCCGCGUUCUAUGG
rnacentral:siRNA from 1 species